AAACAUUUGUGGCAAAACAGACGAAAGUCUGCGACGCAAAGCUACAGAGCCUGUAAAAUGGUAGCCAGUUGCAGAU
rnacentral:ncRNA from 1 species